rnacentral:rRNA from 1 species
UGAAUACGAGAUGCUACGGCGUCGAAGCAGUCUAUGUCAUACUUCCAAGAAAAGCUUGCACUGUCAUAAACAAAUAAUGCCUGUACCAUAACCGACACAGGUGGGUAGGUAGAGUAUACUAAGGGGCGCGAGAUAACUCUCUCUAAGGAACUCGGCAAAAUGACUCCGUAACUUCGGGAGAAGGAGUGCCUUAUUUAUAAGGUUGCAAUAACAAGAUCCAAGCAACUGUUUACCAAAAACACAGGUCUCCGCUAAGUCGUAAGACGAUGUAUGGGGGCUGACGCCUGCCCAGUGCCAGAAGGUUAAAGAAGUUGGUUAGCAUCCGCGAAGCUGAUAACUGAAGCCCUGGUGAACGGCGGCCGUAACGAUAACGGUCCUAAGGUAGCGAAAUUCCUUGUCGGGUAAGUUCCGACCCGCACGAAAGGCGUAAUGAUUUGGAUACUGUCUCGGAGAGGGGCUCGGUGAAAUAGACUUGUCUGUGAAGAUGCGGACUACCUGCACCAGGACAGAAAGACCCUAUGAAGCUUUACUGUAACCUGAAAUUGAAAUUGGACUUUACUUGCGCAGUAUAGGUGGGAGGCGUUGAGAAUAUUCUUGCGGGAUUAUUGGAGCCAUCAGUGAGAUACCACUCUUGUAAUGUUAGAUUUCUAACUUUGUAUCAUUAUCUGGUCAAAGAACAGUUUCAGGCGGGCAGUUUGACUGGGGCGGUCGCCUCCUAAACGGUAACGGAGGCGCACAAAGGUUUCCUCUGAACGGGUAGAAAUCGUAUCUAGAGUGUAAAGGCAUAAGGAAGCUUGACUGUGAGACCUACAAGUCGAGCAGGGACGAAAGUCGGUCUUAGUGAUCUGACGGUGCUGAGUGGAAAGGCCGUCACUCAACGGAUAAAAGUUACUCUAGGAUAACAGGCUGAUCUCCCCCAAGAGUUCACAUCGACGGGGAGGUUUGGCACCUCGAUGUCGGCUCAUCGCAUCCUGGGGCGGUAGUACGUCCCAAGGGUUGGGCUGUUCGCCCAUGAAAGCGGUACGCGAGCUGGGUUCAGAACGUCGUGAGACAGUUCGGUCCAUAUCCGGUGUAGGCGUUAGAAUAUUGAGAGGAGCCUCCUUUAGUACGAGAGGACCGAGAAGGACAUACCUCUGGUGUACCAGUUAUCGUGCCAACGGUAAACGCUGGGUAGCUAUGUGUGGAGUGGAUAACCGCUGAAAGCAUCUAAGUGGGAAGCCCACCUCAUGAUAAGUAUUCUC